GGUGGUUCUCGGGUGACGCACCCAGGAAUCGGGCUCCCUCUUCUCUGGUUCCGGGUGCGUCACCCGAGAACCGCA
rfam:Myotis lucifugus cont2.31020, whole genome shotgun sequence.